GACGAACGCUGGCGGCGUGCUUAACACAUGCAAGUCGAACGAAGAGCGACGGAAGCUUGCUUCUCUCAAUCUUAGUGGCGAACGGGUGAGUAACGCGUAAUCAACCUGCCCUUCAGAGGGGGACAACAGUUGGAAACGACUGCUAAUACCGCAUACGAUCUAACCUCGGCAUCGAGGAUAGAUGAAAGGUGGCCUCUACAUGUAAGCUCUCACUGAAGGAGGGGAUUGCGUCUGAUUAGCUAGUUGGAGGGGUAACGGCCCACCAAGGCGAUGCUCAGUAGCCGGUCUGAGAGGAUGAACGGCCACAGUGGGACUGAGACACGGCCCAGACUCCUACGGGAGGCAGCAGUGGGGAAUCUUCCGCAAUGGACGAAAGUCUGACGGAGCAACGCCGCGUGAGUGAUGACGGCCUUCGGGUUGUAAAGCUCUGUUAAUCGGGACGAAAGGCCUUCUUGCGAAUAGUGAGAAGGAUUGACGGUACCGGAAUAGAAAGCCACGGCUAACUACGUG
rnacentral:rRNA from 1 species